GUGAAAGUUCAGCAGCUGAGCUGCAAGAUCACAAGACUGCUGUGGAGGGACAGAUCAGCAGGAGGGAGCCAGGCAGACAUGGAUAUAUUUGCACAGGCACUGGGAUUGGAAUCUGUGUUGCCUUUCACUCAGGUCCUUUAUCUCUGUACACCAAAAGCUUUAUGGUGAAUGCUUGCAACCUCUAUAGAGGCAAAAAUUGGUGAUUGAUUCUACAACCCCUGAAAUAGAGGUGAUAAAACCACACGGCAGAGAAUGGAAGGGAAGGAUCUAAACUGACUCCUCGGCCAAAGAGCCUAUGUAAAACUCCUCUGGGAGCUUUGUCCAAGGGCCUGUUGAUGUCAUUCAGCCUGGGAGUUGCAGGACAGAGAUGGAAAUGCAGGUCCUCACUCAAUUCCAGUUCUCCAUCUCUGGAUAGUUCAUUGGUGGAGUACUAUCCAGUUUCUGAAGGCCACGUUGUUUCUGCAGAUUGUUUUGAUACAAUGGGGUUAUCCAGUGGCAGUCCAUGACUGAUGACAGAUCACCUUCUAGUUUGCUAUCCAUACUUUUCCGGCCAGCGCCCACAUUCUUCUGCGUUGCAGCUCUUUUCAUUAUGCAAUAUGCCCUGAUGCUCCCUUUCUGAUUUUGCCCUCUGAAACUUACUGAUAUCAAUUAGAAAGAAUCUUUCCUGAUGGGAAUGACAGAGGACACCCCGUCCCUAUGGCUUCAAGAUAUGUCAAAAGUGAAAAGACACAAAAGCAGAAAUACUUGUUGUGCAACUCAACUGCUAGACCUCCAGCAACACAUCACAACAGUGGAGCCGUGGGAAAGUAUUUAUUUUACCUGUAGGUAUAAUUAUAAGCAAUAAAAAAAAAUCUGUUCAGACCCUGCCAAGAAGGGUGCGAAUAUCUGAAAAGACGGAAAAACUCUAAAUUCCAUUACCUGAACAAACAAGUUAGUUUAACAGAGAAAAAAGUAAAUGAAAGUACUGCCAAAACAAUAAGGUUACGAUCCAUCAACAGCUGGAUUGCCCGUUCAUUUCUAACACUGGUAAUGAUUCUUUGACUUCUGAACAUAGUUUAUAAGAAGCCAACUUUGCUAGGUGGGGCUCCAGAAGUUUAAUAAUGACUCUCUCCAAGCCAAAAUGCCCUCCCACCUCCUUUUUACAUUUUGGAAGCCAUUUCUGCAAUUUGGCAGUUGGAAGCGAUUUCUCCCAGUAUUUUUUCAAAGGUUAUAUUUCAUUCUCUGGAAUGUCCCUGACUUCAGGGAAGUGAUUAAUAUAGCAAAGUGGCUUUUGAAAGCAAAUAUGUGUUACAGACAUUCCUGAACCAUGCCUUUUUUUCCUGAAAUGCGAGCUCAGUUUCUCAGUUUGGAACUGGACGCUGAAGGGCAGAAUUGAUAGCCAUAACAGUUAUAAUGUGGCCAAGUGUGACAACAGAAUUUUACUAGAAGCACUACAAGUGAAAAGCUAGGUCAGCACCUUAAUUUUUGAAAUGAUUUAAUGUCAGACAGGCUCACUGAAGGGAAAGCAAUUAUUUUCUGUUCACCAGGCUGGAAACAGUAAUUUUGGUGAUGGGUACAUCUCUUAAAGUGUCAGGUGUCUGUUUACCUUCCAAAUAUUCUCCUUUACUCACCUUUACUUAAAAACUGUGUCCAAUAACAGCUUUUUGCUUUGAGAUUUCUAGGCCUUCCUUGUUCCUCGUGCAACAUAAAUGCCACAUAAUCUCUCUCAAGAUAUUUAGCAACUUUGAAUCCCUGCAUAAGAAAGACAAAACUCCUUGAGGAACUUUUACAUCAGUUCUUGCUUACGGGAAAAGAAGAUCCAUUCACAGCUUUUGAGUUUAUUAUUAGUUGAGUUAUCAAAUGCACUGUCUAGAAUUUGUCCUGCUUUCUUAUUUUCACAGUAGAAAAGGAGAACAUUUGAAAUUAGGGAACUAAUGAUUCAGUGAUUGAUUUGUUGUCAAGAUACCAUCC